AUUGAACGCUGGCGGCAGGCUUAACACAUGCAGGUCGAACGAUGAUUAUCUAGCUUGCUAGUUAUGAUUAGUGGCGGACGGGUGAGUAACAUUUAGGAAUCUGCCUAGUAGUGGGGGAUAGCUCGGGGAAACUCGAAUUAAUACCGCAUACGACCUACGGGUGAAAGGGGGCGCAAGCUCUUGCUAUUAGAUGAGCCUAAAUCAGAUUAGCUAGUUGGUGGGGUAAAGGCCCACCAAGGCGACGAUCUGUAACUGGUCUGAGAGGAUGAUCAGUCACACCGGAACUGAGACACGGUCCGGACUCCUACGGGAGGCAGCAGUGGGGAAUAUUGGACAAUGGGGGCAACCCUGAUCCAGCCAUGCCGCGUGUGUGAAGAAGGCCUUUUGGUUGUAAAGCACUUUAAGCAGGGAGGAGAGGCUAAUGGUUAAUACCCAUUAGAUUAGACGUUACCUGCAGAAUAAGCACCGGCUAACUCUGUGCCAGCAGCCGCGGUAAUACAGAGGGUGCGAGCGUUAAUCGGAAUUACUGGGCGUAAAGCGAGUGUAGGUGGCUCAUUAAGUCACAUGUGAAAUCCCCGGGCUUAACCUGGGAACUGCAUGUGAUACUGGUGGUGCUAGAAUAUGUGAGAGGGAAGUAGAAUUCCAGGUGUAGCGGUGAAAUGCGUAGAGAUCUGGAGGAAUACCGAUGGCGAAGGCAGCUUCCUGGCAUAAUAUUGACACUGAGAUUCGAAAGCGUGGGUAGCAAACAGGAUUAGAUACCCUGGUAGUCCACGCCGUAAACGAUGUCUACUAGCCGUUGGGGUCCUUGAGACUUUAGUGGCGCAGUUAACGCGAUAAGUAGACCGCCUGGGGAGUACGGCCGCAAGGUUAAAACUCAAAUGAAUUGACGGGGGCCCGCACAAGCGGUGGAGCAUGUGGUUUAAUUCGAUGCAACGCGAAGAACCUUACCUGGUCUUGACAUAGUGAGAAUCCUGCAGAGAUGCGGGAGUGCCUUCGGGAAUUCACAUACAGGUGCUGCAUGGCUGUCGUCAGCUCGUGUCGUGAGAUGUUGGGUUAAGUCCCGCAACGAGCGCAACCCUUUUCCUUAUUUGCCAGCGGGUUAAGCCGGGAACUUUAAGGAUACUGCCAGUGACAAACUGGAGGAAGGCGGGGACGACGUCAAGUCAUCAUGGCCCUUACGACCAGGGCUACACACGUGCUACAAUGGUAGGUACAGAGGGUUGCUACACAGCGAUGUGAUGCUAAUCUCAAAAAGCCUAUCGUAGUCCGGAUUGGAGUCUGCAACUCGACUCCAUGAAGUCGGAAUCGCUAGUAAUCGCAGAUCAGAAUGCUGCGGUGAAUACGUUCCCGGGCCU
rnacentral:rRNA from 1 species